CCACUUCAGUCUCAAUAAGAUAUCCAGCGAAAUAAAACGUAGUCGCGCCUAAUGGGUUGCGGUCAAAAUAUAGAUUGCACACUUUUAUCGGCAAAAUUCUUUUUAUGACGCUGUUCCGGCGGCAUAUAUAUAUUUAUUAUCACUUUGACUUGUGGCUAUUAUCGUGUUUUUAAACGACAUAUAAAUUAUAAGCGCAUAUGUAUGCAUGUAUGUGCGUGAAUAGUGCAGUGUAUCGGCAUAGGCUACGCCGCUCAGUGCGCACAUGAAAGGAGCUCUCACUGGUGUUGGCAUAAACUGUUGUGCGUUGGAAUUUUGGUACAAAUUAUUUAGGAUAAUUGUUGUGUGUUUACCUAAAGUUAAAAUAUACAUAAAUGUGUUGGGUGCGUGGAAAAAGUAGUACGGAAAACAUAUUUUAUGCCUAGACGCCGUAAAUUAUGCUUGCUAAAUGGCAGUGAAUAGUCUGAAAAAGUGUUUGAUUUGUGUGCAUUGAGUAGAAAUGCAAAUACUUGUAUGCAAAUAAUCUAUAAGCGUUACUAGUGCUGAUAACAACAACAAGUAAUAAUAAUAGAAUGUUAUUUACAAGGCGUCAUAAGUAAGUGAAUUAAAGCAAAGCUUAAUAACUGAAAAGUUCAUUGCUGUAUAUAUGUAUAUACGAUAUAUACAUAUGUAGAUGUACAAGCAAGUGUAUGCAUAUACAAGUGCCCAAGUAUAUUGUUGACAUCUGGCUCAAAACCAAAGCAAAUUUUGUUUGAGCUCUGCUGGCAAUGUGUAAAUGUGUGAGCGUAUAACAAAAAAUACAAGACGAAAUGAAAAAAUAAUAAUAACAAAACAGUCAUCGUCUCAAACUCAGCAGUUACAGCAAAUACAAUGUCUACUUACUUACGUAGUUAAAAAUAAAUCUGAAUUUUACAUUAUUCCUAAUAAUUUUGAAAUGACAGCAAAAUAUAUGAGGUGAGUGACUU
rnacentral:lncRNA from 1 species